CCUACGGGUGGCAGCAGUGAGGAAUAUUGGUCAAUGGACGAGAGUCUGAACCAGCCAAGUAGCGUGAAGGAUGACUGCCCUAUGGGUUGUAAACUUCUUUUAUAAAGGAAUAAAACGAGGCACGUGUGCCUUUUUGCAUGUACUUUAUGAAUAAGGAACGGCUAACUCCGUGCCAGCAGCCGCGGUAAUACGGAGGAUCCGAGCGUUAUCCGGAUUUAUUGGGUUUAAAGGGAGCGUAGAUGGGUUGUUAAGUCAGUUGUGAAAGUUUGCGGCUCAACCGUAAAAUUGCAAUUGAUACUGGCAGUCGUGAGUACAGUUGAGGUAGGCGGAAUUCGUGGUGUAGCGGUGAAAUGCUUAGAUAUCACGAAGAACCCCGAUUGCGAAGGCAGCUUACUAAACUGUGACUGACAUUGAUGCUCGAAAGUGUGGGUAUCAAACAGGAUUAGAUACCCCAGUAGUC
rnacentral:rRNA from 1 species